AGUUAUCCGUCUAUAUCCGCACCUUAUCCGCUUAUAUCCAUUGUGAAUACCGCAUAAACUAGAUCGUGGAACUAAUUUCUAUGUCUCUUUUGUUGAACAAGGCAAAGAUCUGGAGCGCCUUAAUAGAUCCAGGACACUAAUAAUGGAGUUAACAAUGGAGCUGAAGUGCUACAACACUUCAAUUGUUGUACUAAGAUCAGGGUCCGAGGGCUUUUUAUUUACUCCUGCACAACGUUAGGUGGUUUGGUACAUCUAUUGAGUGGUUGUGAAGUGGUUCAGGUGCUCAGUCCCAGCCUCGUCAGUGAUUUUCGAGUACCUUUGUCUACAUGUCCACAGUGGUGAGUCCUCAUGGUUCGAGGACCUAUUUUCAGACAUUUCAGUGUUUUAGUAGGUAUAUUAUUGCUUUCAGUUCAAUUUGAGUCAGUUGGGGACCUGUCCCAAUGGCUCUGUAGUUCAUAAAAUAGUAGAGGCUUUGUCAAACUAGUUAUCAAAUUAUUAGUAUGUUGAGAUUUCCAGUAUUGUGGUCAUUUGGAUCAAGUAUUUUCUUCGUAUCUUCUAUCAUUU